rfam:Rattus norvegicus chromosome 17, whole genome shotgun sequence.
GGGGAUUUGGCUCAGUGGUAGAGCGCUUGCCUAGCAAGCACAAGGCCCUGGGUGCGGUCCCCAGCUCCG